CAGUAGCCGCGGUAAUACAGAGGGUGCAAGCGUUAAUCGGAAUUACUGGGCGUAAAGCGCGCGUAGGUGGUUUGUUAAGUUGGAUGUGAAAUCCCCGGGCUCAACCUGGGAACUGCAUUCAAAACUGACUGACUAGAGUAUGGUAGAGGGUGGUGGAAUUUCCUGUGUAGCGGUGAAAUGCGUAGAUAUAGGAAGGAACAUCAGUGGCGAAGGCGACCACCUGGACUAAUACUGACACUGAGGUGCGAAAGCGUGGGGAGCAAACAGGAUUAGAUACCCCCGUAGUCCCUGUCUCUUAUAC
rnacentral:rRNA from 1 species